CCCUGCCCGGAGCUGGGCCGUCCCACGGCUCCCUCUCCGGGUCCCCGCCCACCGCCCUGCUGUCCUGGCCUCUCUGCGAGCGCCCCGCGGCCCCUCCCGGAGCGGGCAGCGGAAGAGCGUCCGCCAAUAGUGGACCGGCAAGUUACGAGGGCGGGGUCAAUGCUAAUCAGGCCUCCCAGAGAACCCGGGCGGGAAACCUGGCCCCAAGUCCUGGAGUUCUCUGUGGUGGUUCACCAGAAUGGUACUCACUUUCCUGAAGGUUCUGCUCUCUGAACGCCUGCUUCCAGGGCCUCCACUAGGCCAUCUCUCUCCAGUUAAGUGUCCUUAUCGAGGUCCGGUGCUUGUUUAAAGGGAUGAGAGGUCAAUUCAGUUGUGCCACCUGUCCUCCCCCUUCUGAGCUGCCUUGUGCUAGGUGACAGACGCGCUAGUACUUAAUGAGCAACCUCGUGUUAGUUAAUCGUUUACACCUUGAUAGGCAAUCUGGAUACCCUAGAAUUCUGAGGCCAGAACGCCUCAGAACUUGACCUAAACAGUUGAGCUAACAAGACAGCAGAAACGUUGACAAACUUGUGCCCUUCCCUGUGGGAGCUCCUAGCACACAGUAGGCUCUCUGAUGACAAACCUAGAAUCCGAAACCAGAAGUUGGGCAGCAGAAUUCACAAUCUUUACCCUCCCUAGGAAAUAUCGAUAUUUCCCAGGCUUUGCCUUUCGUAUAUACAACAAAAUCUUGCCGUUGUAACUAGAGGAUGAAUUUCUUUCCAGUUUUGGAUGACUCUAGAGACGGUAGUCCUUAGCAGUAGCAAUUUAUAAUCCCUGGCAGAUCUGAAGACACCCACAGAGAAAAACUCUUGGACUGGGACAGUGUACAGCUCACGGUGCUGGGUUCCCCAGGGUUGGCUGCUGUGCACUUUGGCGAGGCUGGGACCCGGUAAGGGGGUCGCACUGGGGCAGUAGGAACCGUGGAAAGACCUGCUACCCGCUGUCAACGGAGGGACACACAGUGGCGCUCUCCUGAUAGGGCUAAGAACCACUGACAAAAUUAGCUUUGCUUCCGUCUCAGUGAAGCUACCAAUGUAAACCCCACGGGCCUUCUGCAAGACUCUUUUAUACACAUCUCUGUAUGCAUGGACGUGUCAAAGCAAAGAAUACAUGCUUCUAGGCUAUUUGUAUGAGAAUCUACAUAAGUUAAGGGGAACACAUAACUCAAUGGAGCUGUGGUCAAAUUCAGGACCGGUAACAACUGCAGGGACAGCAAUGCCGCCUCCCUUCCAUGAUGAGAUGCUGACGGGCCUAAUCCUGUACAGGGCUUGUGUAGAUAACCACAGAUGCAGUUGUUCACGUGCACGAGUGAUCAGAAGACAUCUUUCCCCUACAUAUUUCUCCAUCCUCUGGCUUAUACAUACUUUCCAUCCACUCACCGGUGAUCAGAACCUAAGUCUUGACAUUAAAUCUGAUUCUGACACGAGGCUCUGGAAUCCUAACCUAGCACCCCAAAAUGAAAAAAAAAAAACAAC
rnacentral:sRNA from 1 species